UCAGCUUGGCCAAGGCGGCCGCGGCGGUGUGGCGACCCCCACAUGAGGAUCCAUCCUUCCAACAAGAUUUUCCAAGAGAGGAUCACGGUCUCGGAGCUACUCUUGCGUAGCGAUUGCGUUGGUAUUGGUGCGCGCGUAGCAAAAUUUUUCCCUCACGCUUUUCCGAGCAAAUUUUCCUCUUUUCGCAUCAGUUGGUUGAAAUUUAUGCACCCGUACGGAAUCAUCCAUCGAGAGUGGGCCUCCGCUGGCAGCUGGCGAACCGAUAGUGAAGCAAAAAACAGACUCUGGAGCUGGGGAGAUUUGGCCAUACCUUUGGCUGAGGGGUACUGGGAUUUGAAGUGUGUCUUUUGAUGUGAGAUUUGUGGAUAUUUUGUCCGAAAGAUAAUAACCGCUGGAUCAGUUCUGGGCUUGAUCUGCUCUAGGCAAGAGAACUUCGUCGAAUUUUAGGUGUUCUGUUCGCGACUUUAAUACUGGACCAGCGAGGACUUUUUUCUGGGAUUACAUCUUGAAGGAUAUGUGCGAGAAAUUUGCGUGAAUAAUUGAGUCGCAUCAAUAAGAAAUGCUGCUGGUGAAUAAGUGAUAGCACUUAGUCUGAACGGAUCGUGUCGGUAUUGACUCCAACUGGUGGAAGUGAAGAAAUAGAAAAAUGCCAGUGUUCUUCUGUUUGAAUCUAAUAUUGAGUGGUGAUCGCAAAUGAAACCGGACUAGUCCAGAUUGUUUUGUGUGUGGGUGAAAAGUGAUAAAGACAUCGAUUUGAUUUUUCACUUGCGAAGAAACUGAACAGAAGUAACGCUUCGUCUCUCGGUGAUGGUGAUUUAUUUACUGCCAGCUUUGCUUAAAUAGAGAGGCCCGGAUCGUGUAUGAUAGGAGAAACCGAACGUGGACAGUCUUGAAUUUGGUGAAGCAUUUUUGCCAUCUGUCAGGAUUUUUUUCAUAGAAUCACAGCCCAAGUGAAAGUGAAAAGCUCAAACCCAAUAGAUGCCAUUGGAAGGUUGAUAAAAUCGUUGCAUAAAUCACAGCCCAAUGGCAGCAAUCCGAAACCAAAGAAAUAUGGAAAUUCAGUCGAACGCCAUCCAAUGCUAGGGUUGUGAGGUUUCGACUUCUAUACGAGAAAUCACAUUCAAAAAUAUAUUCUCCUAGUGCGUGGUGCGGUGGGAGUAAGUACGAGUGAAAAUCGAAGAAAACGUAUAAGCAAUCGAAAGCGAAAACCCGGUGGAAAAUAAGAGAGAAAACAGCAGAAAAAUAUUUCCUUAUAUUUGAAUCAAAAGCAACACUCCGCGAUAGCUUCUACACGAGUGUUUCGAGCAAAACGCAAGAGUGUGCGGGAAGAAAGUAAAAACAGCAUAAGUCCUAGCCGCAGAAGCAAAAAGCUAUCAAAAAGUGUGUGAAUAAAAAAAAAGAAAUAUGAGUAAAAAAUUGUAAUUGUUAUUGAUCGUGACAAGAGGUAAAGGAAGAAGGGAGAAUAAAUUAUAUUGAAGCUAAAGGAGUCCAAACCUUAGUGAGUGCUGCGAAUACUACGAAAAGAAAAGCUCAGAAGUGUAAGGGUUCUGGAAGUGAUUUUUCUCCUUCUCAUUCCUCAAGGGUCGUGCCAACUAUACAUUUGCGUGAACGUCGAACCUGCAAUUAAUAAUAAUAGUGGUAUAAGGAAAAAACCAUCCAAACGUGGCAAAGUACAAGUGGCGACGAGGUGGCAGCGAAGUGGCAACAAUUGUGUGCGCUUCUAUACUCACUUUUCCUGUGUGUCAGAAAUCUAUGCUCACUAAGGCGAAAACAGGUGUAAAACGAAAAGAAGAAAGUCGUCAUCACUAGGGAAACCCCGAAGAAUUUCCCAGAACUAGAGCAAUCUCCUAGUGUCGUAAGAAAAUUUCUCUCCGUGCCAGCGGCAACAGCAAGUCGAGUGGUGUGCAGGCAGUGUGUUCAACAAAAAGCUAAAAGAGGCGAAAAAGCGAGAUUUUCUCGAGUUCAGCAGCCAGUUGAAGCCCGUUCAGUUCAGUGUAUCUGUGCGAGAAAAGUUGGAGAGUGCUCGGUUGGUGUUGGUGGUUUCCCACGAGAAGAGUGUGGAAGAGCAUCAUCAUCAUACAGGUUUCCAUCCAUCGAGCGACGGACGACAACGCGGCAGCAGCCAACCCGUCAGCCAAAUCAGUCAAAUCAGGGCAGUGUGGGUAUUGAAGAGAUUUGAGGGGUCAGCAUUAUAAUGCCGUGGUGUUGAAAUGCGAAUACCCAUCAAUGUCCAUCAGAAACGGACAUUUGAUGCGAACAAACCAUGAUUGAUGAACCAACUUUGCCGGAACAAUCCAACGGUGAUGCUCAUGCUGUUUGCGACUGCCAGCGAGGGACAGUGGGCCACCACCACCGGCUUCAUCAACACCAGCAGCUGCUACUCUAGACCAUUGCUAGGCGCUCAAAUACCACGAAAUAAGACCGAAAUGGCCCCAACUGCCAUCAGAAACGGCACACCGAACAAGUUGACAACAUCCCACUAACCACCGACCGGCCGGUUGGGCAUUCCCCGAUACUGCUGCGUGUGUUCGUUCGUUCAUGUUGGGGAUUCUUCGGAAUUGAAACUUGGCAUCAUCGAAGUAGUAGAGCUUAUGUCGGCUUAACCGGAAGGGGCUGAGGGAAAGCGAGGGAAUUAUUAGUCGUUAGUGUAGUGUGGUGGUAGCUGAAAUACUGGGCAGUGGAAAAAAAAAUCUUCGUUGGCCUCGGCAGCAGCAGCGUGAGAGCUUAGAGCGAAAGUGUAUCCUUCGGGGAAAGCGACCUGUGGUGGAAGCUGUAGCAACUAAUAUGAGGGCUCGUCGAGCUAAAGCCUCUCGGUAACAAGUGGGAAAGUGAAACUUGGGGAAGUGAGGCAAAGUAAAUGGUAAAAAAUUGAAGAUCAAGUGUUGGCAGACAAGCUGUUGUUGGUUGGGAAGCGGAACGAGCUCGUGGUGGGUGGCAGUUGAGAAAUUGGAUGGUGAAGAUAUCAAGAUGAAAGUGAUUAAUCAUCACAGCAGUGCCAUUUAGUUCGGAAAGGAAACGGGUUCGGUUACAAAAAAGAAACGGGAAAAGCGAAGCGGAGUGGAUGGUUUUCUGCUACAUUAACAUCAGCUUGAAGUUUUCUGGGCGGGAAGUGCUUCUCGGUGAAUAAUUUUCAAUAUCAUCACAAUGUUAAUCAGUUCGUGAAGCGUUUGGAUCGUCUGGGUCGAAGGUCGUCGUGAAGGACUGUGUAGUUAGUGAGGGGAUUGAAAUUUCGCCGACGUCGACGCAGCAAACCGGAAGGAUUGGACUAAGCCAACGCCGUAGGGAUUCGACAAGAGAAUUUGCAUCUGAGCCCACCAUCGCAGAGCGGCAAAGGAAAAUAAAACAGAUGGAAGAUGUAGUCUGAGCAUGUUGUUUCCGAGGAAUUUGCGCUUUUCAUUAUUUUCCAUCUGCUUAGCCCCGAAAUUGCUUGAAAGCCAUUAUCAUAAGCAAAGAACGAAGGAAUAGCAAAACUAGAAGGAGCU